UCUAUAUACAGUAGCAUUCAGCACAAAAUCUUGCAUUUCUUGCUGAAAAACCAAGAGAUAGUCUGAGAUAGUCUGAGAUAGUCUGAUAGUCUGACAAGAAGUCUGAUAUUCAUAUUUUCCCCAUUCUAACAUCAUAUUAAGGUUUUAGAGACAGAGACGGUGUAACAGCAUGGACACUGCAUCUGGUUCGUCAACUGAGACCGUAAACACGGUGUGGGUCGUGUUCGUGGACAACAUUCCAGUUGUCGGGGCGAUAAAGGAGGUAGUGGAGUUGGCGUUGGCUCUGAGAUACGGGGAUACAGAGUUGAUCAAAUAGAAGGAGAAAGCUGUUAAAAACCAUCUAAACAAUGAGAUAAAUAAGAAAUACAAUAGGGAAAAGUAUGUGCCGCCGACUGAACCAAUGCCAGGUGUAGUAGGUGUGUGUUAUUCCUGCUCUUCUUCUCACAAAUAUUACUGAAAUGCAUUGAAUAAAAUCAUAGUAUGGAAAUAUUUUUGCUUUUUUUCCACAGAGAUCAGAAAAGAAGAUCUUCGGGAAUAUGUGAGGAAAAUGAAAGGUUCCAAACAGGCACUGCAGCAGACCCCUCCAGAGUGAUGGUCAAGCUUUACUGAUGAGUUUUAUGAAGUUCAUUAUCCAUCACACAGGAUGAAAUUUCAGUGUAAACUCCUGAAAUUCACCAGAAGCGCUAAAUAAACACAUACAGAAAUGUA